rnacentral:lncRNA from 1 species
CUGAGUCGAACCAAACUAAGAAACACAUGCAGAUAUGGAAGACCAACAGAGAGAAGCAAGAGGAAGUAAAGUCAGAGGAGUUUGCAAAAUGGGGGUGAGAGGAAAACACAUCAUAUCUUGCACUUGGGUGGAAAAGAGCAGAAAUCCUUGGUUAAUAGGAUUAUACGCAACGGUGCAGAAAGCAUUCUCUAAAGAAAAAUCAGAGAGGAAGAAACACCGCAUGGAGAAUCCAAGAAACACUCUAAGAAUUGAAGUUAAAAUGUCGGAGGUAAGAAAGUGACAAUCCUUGGAGGAAUAUUUUUGAGCAUUAAGCAGGUGAAUUAGAAGAAACAGCAAUGGC